rnacentral:rRNA from 1 species
AGAUCUGGAGGAAUAUCGGUGGCGAAGGCGGCCCCCUGGACGAAGACUGACGCUCAGGUGCGAAAGCGUGGGGAGCAAACAGGAUUAGAUACCCUGGUAGUCCACGCCGUAAACGAUGUCGACUUGGAGGUUGUGCCCUUGAGGCGUGGCUUCCGGAGCUAACGCGUUAAGUCGACCGCCUGGGGAGUACGGCCGCAAGGUUAAAACUCAAAUGAAUUGACGGGGGCCCGCACAAGCGGUGGAGCAUGUGGUUUAAUUCGAUGCAACGCGAAGAACC